rnacentral:rRNA from 1 species
ACGGAAGGCAGCAGUAGGGAAUCUUCGGCAAUGGGGGCAACCCUGACCGAGCAACGCCGCGUGAGUGAAGAAGGUUUUCGGAUCGUAAAGUUCUGUUGUAAGAGAAGAACGUGUGUAAGAGUGGAAAGUUCACACAGUGACGGUAACUUACCAGAAAGGGACGGCUAACUACGUGCCAGCAGCCGCGGUAAUACGUAGGUCCCGAGCGUUGUCCGGAUUUAUUGGGCGUAAAGCGAGCGCAGGCGGUUUAAUAAGUCUGAAGUUAAAGGCAGGGGCUUAACCAUUGUUCGCUUGGGAAACUGUUAGGCUUGAGUGCAGAAGGGGAGAGUGGAAUUCCAUGUGUCGCGGUGAAAUGCGUAGAUAUAUGGAGGAACACCGGUGGCGAAAGCGGCUCUCUGGUCUGUAACUGACGCGGAGGCUCGAAAGCGUGGGGAGCAAACAGGAUUAGCUACCCUGGUA